rnacentral:tRNA from 1 species
UCUAAUGUGGCAGAAUAGUGCAAUGAACUUAAGAUUCAUACAUAAAGAAAUAUCUUUUAUUAGAA